rnacentral:rRNA from 1 species
AUCUAUGGCCAUACCACCCUAAACUCACCCGAUCUCAUCUGAUCUCGGAAGCUAAACAGGGUUGGACCUGGUUAGUACUUGGAUGGGAGAAAUGACAAAGCCAUUUGUC